rnacentral:rRNA from 1 species
GUCGAACGCCGUAGCAAUACGGAGUGGCAGACGGGUGAGUAACGCGUGGGAACAUACCCCUCGGUUCGGAAUAACUCAGGGAAACUUGAGCUAAUACCGGAUACGUCCGAGGUCUUAAUCGGCCUUGGAGAAAGAUUUAUCGCCGGAGGAUUGGCCCGCGUCUGAUUAGCUUGUUGGUGAGGUAAUGGCUCACCAAGGCGACGAUCAGUAGCUGGUCUGAGAGGAUGAUCAGCCACAUUGGGACUGAGACACGGCCCAAACUCCUACGGGAGGCAGCAGUGGGGAAUAUUGGACAAUGGGCGAAAGCCUGAUCCAGCCAUGCCGCGUGAGUGAUGAAGGCCUUAGGGUUGUAAAGCUCUUUUACCCGGGAAGAUAAUGACGGUACCGGGAGAAUAAGCCCCGGCUAACUUCGUGCCAGCAGCCGCGGUAAUACGAAGGGGGCUAGCGUUGUUCGGAAUUACUGGGCGUAAAGCGCACGUAGGCGGAUCCUUGAGUCAGGGGUGAAAUCCCGAGGCUCAACCUCGGAACUGCCUUUGAUACUGGGGAUAUCGAGUCCGGGAGAGUGAGUGGAACUGCGAGUGUAGAGGUGAAUUCGUAGAUCUUCCCAGAACCCAGUGGCGAAUGCGGCUCCUGGCCCGGUACUGACCUGAGGUGCCAAAGCGUGGGGAGCAAACAGGAUUAGAUCCCUGGUAUCCACGCCGUAACGAUGGAGCUACCGUUAGACAGCUUGCUGUUAGUGGGCACUAACCGUUAGCAUCCCCCUGGGAGUCGGUCGUAGUUAAACUCAAGGAUUGCUGGCG